CUAUAACGACUACUACAGGGGUGGAUACAGGAGCGGAUACUAUCCCAACAGACGAUAUGGAGGUUACUAUGACAACUACGACAACUAUGGCUACGGAAACCGUUACGAUGACUACAACCGAUAUCCAUACGGAGGCUACAAUAGGUACAGUAGCUAUAACCGGUACCCCUAUAGCAGCUUUAGCGGCAGCCGAUAUGGCCGUUACUGAGGACAGUACCAAAAGCCCGGAUAUAGAUGCAAACAUGGCGGAAGCUUGGAGGUGGACAUGAAAUGCGACAAUGCACGUCGAAUAUGUGAAUGGCUAUGUUUGCAC